AACGAACGCUGGCGGCAUGCCUAACACAUGCAAGUCGAACGGAUGCAGCAAUGCAUCAGUGGCAGACGGGUGAGUAACACGUGGGAAUCUACCCAGUAGCCUGGAAUAACCGCGGGAAACUGCGGCUAAUACCGGAUACGCCCCUCGGGGGAAAGGAGCAAUCCACUAUUGGAGGAGCCCGCGUCCGAUUAGCUAGUUGGUGAGGUAACGGCUCACCAAGGCGAUGAUCGGUAGCUGGUUUGAGAGAACGACCAGCCACACUGGGACUGAGACACGGCCCAGACUCCUACGGGAGGCAGCAGUGGGGAAUAUUGGACAAUGGGGGAAACCCUGAUCCAGCAAUGCCGCGUGGGUGAUGAAGGCCUUCGGGUUGUAAAGCCCUUUUGGCGGGGACGAUGAUGACGGUACCCGCAGAAAAAGCCCCGGCCAACUUCGUGCCAGCCGCCGCCGUAA
rnacentral:rRNA from 1 species